UGUGGCUCAGUGAUAGAGCACUUGCCUAGCAUGUAUGAGGCACUGGGUUUGAUUCUCAGCA
rnacentral:tRNA from 1 species